GACGAACGCUGGCGGCGUGCUUAACACAUGCAAGUCGAACGAAGUGGCGCACGGGUGAGUAACGCGUAAUCAACCUGCCCUUCAGAGGGGGACCACAGUUGGAAACAACUGCUAAUACCGCAUACUGAAGGAGGGGAUUGCGUCUGAUUAGCUAGGUGGAGGGGUAACGGCCCACCAAGGCGAUGAUUAGUAGCCGGUCUGAGCGGAUGAACGGCCACAGUGGUACUGAGACACGGCCCAGACUAGUACGGGAGGCAGCAUUAGGGAAUCUGCGGCAAUGGACGGAAGUCUGACCGAGCAACGCCGCGUGAGUGAAGAAGGUUGUCGGAUCGUAAAACUCUGUUGUUAGAUAAGCGGUAUCUAACCAGAAAGCCACGGCUAACUACGUGCCAGCAGCCGCGGUAAUAC
rnacentral:rRNA from 1 species